rnacentral:lncRNA from 1 species
CCAUCAGGUAGGAUGUAGCAGUGCCAAAACUGAGGGAGGUCUAUUAAUCUGAACCGCCGUGACGUGAACGGGCAAAAGCGCUGAGGGAGGAGCGUCCUUCUGAAAUCGAACACCGACUUCAACGUCGGCCAGAGCGGGGGACCUGGCUCAUGCCCUGGGGGCAGCCUGGUUUCAAAUGGAAUACAAUCAACUUUCAGCCAGUGCAAAACACACCUACACGGGCAACAAGGACAAGAGCAGUCACAAGAAGGAAAAAACACAACCCCCCAAAAAACAUUCUAUGUUCUUCAGCAUCAAAGAACAGUGGACACAAUGUUCCAAUGCUGAUCCGUGCAGUCAAAUGAGCUGCUAUAUUAGCUGCUAUACAUGAGUAAUUGGGAG